rnacentral:rRNA from 1 species
GUGCAGCAGCCGCGGUAAAACCAGCACCUCAAGUGGUCAGGAUGAUUAUUGGGCCUAAAGCAUCCGUAGCCGGCUCUGUAAGUUUUCGGUUAAAUCUGUACGCUUAACGUACAGGCUGCCGGGAAUACUGCAGAGCUAGGGAGUGGGAGAGGUAGACGGUACUCGGUAGGAAGGGGUAAAAUCCUUUGAUCUAUUGAUGACCACCUGUGGCGAAGGCGGUCUACCAGAACACGUCCGACGGUGAGGGAUGAAAGCAUUUUACCACUUCCUACCGAGUA